GGAAAAAUGAUCAUGUGUUUGUCUGGUUUAUUUUUAAUUUUUAAAUUGUAUUGGUUCUAUUUUGUAAACAGAGCUGAAAGAAACCAAAGGUUCUUUAAACAAGUAAGAUUUAAAAAAAAAAAAAAAAAAAAACCGACAACGCCAUAGCUUAAAAAGAAGAAAUCAAACAGACAAGCAACAGUACAUAAACACAACAUCGGAAAUAAAAGACCGAGCAAAACUAACACCACUGAAAACUUGGAGA
rnacentral:lncRNA from 1 species